rnacentral:rRNA from 1 species
CCUACGGGAGGCAGCAGUGGGGAAUUUUGGACAAUGGACGCAAGUCUGAUCCAGCCAUUCCGCGUGCAGGAUGAAGGCCCUCGGGUUGUAAACUGCUUUUGUACGGAACGAAAAGGUCUCUCCUAAUACGAGGGGCUCAUGACGGUACCGUAAGAAUAAGCACCGGCUAACUACGUGCCAGCAGCCGCGGUAAUACGUAGGGUGCAAGCGUUAAUCGGAAUUACUGGGCGUAAAGCGUGCGCAGGCGGUUACAUAAGACAGUUGUGAAAUCCCCGGGCUUAACCUGGGAAUUGCAUCUGUGACUGUAUAGCUAGAGUACGGUAGAGGGGGAUGGAAUUCCGCGUGUAGCAGUGAAAUGCGUAGAUAUGCGGAGGAACACCGAUGGCGAAGGCAAUCCCCUGGACCUGUACUGACGCUCAUGCACGAAAGCGUGGGGAGCAAACAGGAUUAGAUACCCUGGUAGUCCACGCCCUAAACGAUGUCAACUGGUUGUUGGGUGCAUUAGUACUCAGUAACGAAGCUAACGCGUGAAGUUGACCGCCUGGGGAGUACGGCCGCAAGGUUGAAACUCAAAUG